rnacentral:rRNA from 1 species
AGAGUUUGAUCCUGGCUCAGAAUCAACGCUGGCGGCGUGCCUAACACAUGCAAGUCGAACGAGAAAGGGUAGCAAUACCUGAGUAAAGUGGCGCACGGGUGAGUAACACGUGACUAACCUACCCUGGAGUGGGGGAUAACUGGGAGAAAUCCUAGCUAAUACCGCAUAACACCUACGGGUCAAAGGAGCAAUUCGCUUUGGGAGGGGGUCGCGGUCGAUUAGUUAGUUGGCGGGGUAAUGGCCCACCAAGACUGUGAUCGAUAUCCGGCCUGAGAGGGCGCACGGACACACUGGAACUGAAACACGGUCCAGACUCCUACGGGAGGCAGCAGUGGGGAAUUUUGCGCAAUGGGGGAAACCCUGACGCAGCAACGCCGCGUGGAGGAUGAAGUCCUUCGGGACGUAAACUCCUUUCGAUCGGGACGAUAAUGACGGUACCGGAAGAAGAAGCCCCGGCUAACUUCGUGCCAGCAGCCGCGGUAAUACGAGGGGGGCGAGCGUUGUUCGGAAUUAUUGGGCGUAAAGGGUGCGUAGGCGGUUUGGUAAGUCUUAUGUGAAAUCUAUGGGCUCAACUCAUAGACUGCAUGAGAAACUGCCGGGCUUGAGUGUGGGAGAGGUGAGUGGAAUUUCCGGUGUAGCGGUGAAAUGCGUAGAUAUCGGAAGGAACACCUGUGGCGAAAGCGGCUCACUGGACCACAACUGACGCUGAUGCACGAAAGCUAGGGGAGCAAACAGGAUUAGAUACCCCGGUAGUCC